rnacentral:rRNA from 1 species
AUACAUGCAAGUCGAACGAUGAAGCUUCUAGCUUGCUAGAAGUGGAUUAGUGGCGCACGGGUGAGUAAGGUAUAGUUAAUCUGCCCUACACAAGAGGACAACAGUUGGAAACGACUGCUAAUACUCUAUACUCCUGCUUAACACAAGUUGAGUAGGGAAAGUUUUUCGGUGUAGGAUGAGACUAUAUAGUAUCAGCUAGUUGGUAAGGUAAUGGCUUACCAAGGCUAUGACGCUUAACUGGUCUGAGAGGAUGAUCAGUCACACUGGAACUGAGACACGGUCCAGACUCCUACGGGAGGCAGCAGUAGGGAAUAUUGCGCAAUGGGGGAAACCCUGACGCAGCAACGCCGCGUGGAGGAUGACACUUUUCGGAGCGUAAACUCCUUUUCUUAGGGAAGAAUUCUGACGGUA